AUUGAACGCUGGCGGCAGGCCUAACACAUGCAAGUCGAACGAGUGGCGGACGGGUGAGUAAUGUCUGGGAAACUGCCCGAUGGAGGGGGAUAACUACUGGAAACGGUAGCUAAUACCGCAUACCAUCGGAUGUGCCCAGAGGGGAUUAGCUAGUAGGUGGGGUAACGGCUCACCUAGGCGACGAUCCCUAGCUGGUCUGAGAGGAUGACCAGCCACACGGGACCGUAGACACGGUCCAGACGCCUACGGGAGGCAGCGGUGGGGAAUAUUGAACAAUGGGCGCAAGCCGGAUGCAGCCAUGCCGCGUGUAUGAAGAAGGCCUUCGGGUUUUAAAGUACUUUCAGCGAGGAGGCGUUACUCGCAGAAGAAGCACCGGCUAACUCCGUGCCAGCGGCCGCGGGAAUC
rnacentral:rRNA from 1 species